rnacentral:misc_RNA from 1 species
GAUGAAGAACGUAGCGAAAUGCGAUAAUUAAUGUGAAUUGCAGAAUUCAGUGAAUCAUCGAAUCUUUGAACGCACAUUGCGCCCGCCAGUAUUCUGGCGGGCAUGCCUGUUCGAGCGUCAUUUCAACCCUCAGGCCCCCAGUGCCUGGUGUUGGGGAUCGGCCCAGCCUUCCUGUAAGGCCGCCGGCCCCGAAAUCUAGUGGCGGUCUCGCUGUAGUCCUCCUCUGCGUAGUAGCACAACCUCGCAGUUGGAACGCGGCGGUGGCCAUGCCGUUAAACACCCCACUUCUGAAAGUUGACCUCGGAUCAGGUAGGAAUACCCGCUGAACUUAAGCAUAUCAAUAAGCGGAGGA